rnacentral:lncRNA from 1 species
UGAGCUCCCAAGUCCGGCGCGUGUGUGGUAGUUGGAGGCUCCCCACCCCCCACCCCCCCAGCUGCCUUUAAAGCUCAGUGUCUUCAUUUUAGAACUCUUGGUACGUCACGGAGGAUCGUCCUCGGCCGUGGACGCGCGUCCCUCUGUUCUUCCCGGCGGGAGUCGAGGUCUCCGCGGUCCGAGGAGCGGUUUUGGCCUGGCCUUGCACUACCUGUACUGACGUCACGGGGGAGCAGCUCGGGCUGCCAAGGAGAGUGAAAACAAAAAAUCAUUUGAAUGAGAAGUGAGCUUCCUGGUUGUUCUCCUUCCACCACCAACCUUACUUUUUCACGUUGCUCCUUCGACCCUCCCAGGAGGCAGGGGUCUGGCUCAGGCGCGGACAAACUCCGAGCGCAGAGAGGGCCCGGCCCGGCGCCCCGCGCCCCCUGACCGAGCUGCUUCCGGCCCCGGAGCCAGGGACUGGGGAGGAAGGCGCGACCGCCAGGGCCCCGCCACCAGCCGCAAAACCUCGCACCCAAGAGUGCCACGCUCCCCUGGAGGAAGCCACCCCAAAGGACGAGGCUGAAUGGGCUGAGGGGCCCAGUGACGAGGAAUCCCGGACAGCCUGCGAUAGGGACUGAGAUGGGCCGCGGGCUCCCAGGAAAUCCCGUCCUCUCUGGAGCCUGGGAAUGGCUUUGGGAGAAAAGGCUCAGCUCCAGG